rnacentral:rRNA from 1 species
GACGUAGGGUGCGAGCGUUGUCCGGAUUUAUUGGGCGUAAAGAGCUCGUAGGCGGCUCGUCGCGUCGACCGUGAAAACCCGCGGCUUAACUGCGGGCUUGCGGUUGAUACGGGCGGGCUAGAGUUCGGUAGGGGAGACUGGAAUUCCUGGUGGUAGCGGUGAAAUGCGCAGAUAUCAAGGAGGAACACCGGUGGCGAAGGCGGGUCUCUGGGCCGAUACCUGACGCUGAGGAGCGAAAGCGUGGGGAGCGAACAGGA